rnacentral:lncRNA from 1 species
GAGCCGCCUCUCCCUGGAACAUUGCUGGUCAUGGUAGAGAGGAAGGAUCUCCUGCGUGAAGGCCCUUAAAGCCCCACCUGGAAGGGACACAUAUCUCUGCUGCCACGUUUCAUUGGCCAAUGCGAGUCACAAAGCCUCUUCUGUUUGGCAGGGAAGAGAUGUGUGGUCCUCCCAGGGAGGGGAGGAACACUGCAGAAAAGGAAGCCGGAGUAUUUGGUGACCAUCCACACAGCUUGGUCAGGGAGUUCCUAUUGUUUUGAAGAUGAAAGUCAAAGCCGUAAGACCUACAAGGCUCCUGAUCAGGUCUCUGCUAAGCUCCCUAACUUGACCUCCCCCCCGUUGAUCACUGAUUCUUUGAACAUGCCAUGGGGCUACUCUGCCCGGGUCUGGACAUGUCGUCCCCUCCUGUCCUCUUUCCCAACUUAGUCCUGGCACUUGUUCACAUCGCAGGGUCUUUGUCAUGGGCUUGCGCUGAGUGGCCGAUCUCCUUCGUUGGGCUUGUCUGAGCUUUCUGUGGCCCCUGCAGUAGGGGGAUUCCACCACCCAUGGCUGCCUCCCUGUCCUGAUGGGCAGCGCACAAUGCUGCAGUAGAAGCUGGUCAAGUGAAAGAAAGAGAAGAGGCUGAAGUGCAGAACAACCCCUGGAGGAAUGGAGAAUAUUUGAGUAGAAGACAGUCCUGGCAGGGGACAGGGUAAGGGGCUGUGCGUAUGUGGAGGGCGUUCAUGGAAGCUGGGGCUGGAUUUAUUUUUCAUUCUUUCCCAGAGCAUCUUUAAAGCCAAAGUUUGAAAGUUAGAGGUGAUGAGUUAAUUUUGGGUCGCUGUAAUACUGAACUUCCUGACAGUGUGAGCAUGCAUAUUAGAAAUGUUCUGUUCUCUGUCCCUGCUCCAGCAGAGACCGAUGACAGAGAUGGGAAGUGUCAAUGGGCAUUUUGGAUAGCAGGGGUGGUGGAAGAGAGGCACGAGCUCGAUCCCUCAGACUUCAAAGUGGUGUGGUUCCACUACAAAACAGAGACACAAAUGAGGAGAUGAGAAAACACCGGGCAUCAAUUUCUAUAAAAUGGCACAGCCCCUGGGUGCCAUGCUGAUGUCCCUGUCUUGGCUUGUGAUUUGAGAACUGUUACAAG